ensembl:lncRNA
GUCGGAGCAGAACCCAAAUAGCACCAAAAUAGCACCAAAAUGGCACCAAAAUGUCGGAGCAGAACCCAAAUGACACCAAAAUGGCACCAAAAUGGCACCAAAAUGUCGGAGCAGAACCCAAAUAGCACCAAAAUGGCACCAAAAUGGCACCAAAAUGGCAGAGCAGAACCCAAAUAGCACCAAAAUGGCACCAAAAUGGCACCAAAAUGACAGAACAGAACCCAAAUAGCACCAAAAUGGCACCAAAAUGUCGGAGCAGAACCCAAAUAACACCAAAAUAGCACCAAAAUGGCACCAAAAUGACAGAACAGAACCCAAAUAGCACCAAAAUGGCACCAAAAUGUUGGAGCAGAACCCAAAUAGCACCAAAAUAGCACCAAAAUGGCACCAAAAUGUCGGAGCAGAACCCAAAUAGCACCAAAAUGGCACCAAAAUGUCGGAGCAGAACCCAAAUAGCACCAAAAUGGCACCAAAAUGGCAGCAAAAUGGCAGAGCAGAACCCAAAUAGCACCAAAAUGGCACCAAAAUGGCACCAAAAUGUCGGAGCAGAACCCAAAUAGCACCAAAAUAGCACCAAAAUGGCACCAAAAUGUCGGAGCAGAACCCAAAUGACACCAAAAUGGCACCAAAAUGGCACCAAAAUGUCGGAGCAGAACCCAAAUAGCACCAAAAUGGCACCAAAAUGGCACCAAACUGGCAGAGCAGAACCCAAAUAGCACCAAAAUGGCACCAAAAUGGCACCAAAAUGGCAGAGCAGAACCCAAAUAGCACCAAAAUGGCACCAAAAUGUCGGAGCAGAACCCAAAUAACACCAAAAUAGCACCAAAAUGGCACCAAAAUGACAGAACAGAACCCAAAUAGCACCAAAAUGGCACCAAAAUGUCGGAGCAGAACCCAAAUAGCACCAAAAUAGCACCAAAAUGGCACCAAAAUGUCGGAGCAGAACCCAAAUAGCACCAAAAUGGCACCAAAAUCUCAGAGCAGAACCCAAAUAACACCAAAAUAGCACCAAAAUGGCACCAAAAUGGCAGAAGAGAACCCAAAAUGGCACCAAAAUGGCACCAAAAUGUUGGAGCAGAACCCAAAUAGCACCAAAAUGGCACCAAAAUGUCGGAGCAGAACCCAAAUAACACCAAAAUGGCACCAAAAUGGCACCAAAAUGGCAGAGCAGAACCCAAAUAGCACCAAAAUGGCACCAAAAUGGCACCAAAACGUCAGAGUAGAACUCAAAUAGCACCAAAAUAGCACCAAAAUGGCACCAAAAUGGCAGAGCAGAACCCAAAUAGCACCAAAAUGGCACCAAAAUGUCGGAGCAGAACCCAAAUAGCACCAAAAUGGCACCAAAAUGUCGGAGCAGAACCCAAAUAGCACCAAAAUGGCACCAAAAUGUCGGAGCAGAACCCAAAUAACACCAAAAUGGCACCAAAAUGUCGGAGCAGAACCCAAAUAGCACCAAAAUGGCACCAAAAUGACAGAACAGAACCCAAAUAACACCAAAAUAGCACCAAAACGUCGGAGCAGAACCCAAAUAGCACCAAAAUGGCACCAAAAUGGCAGCAAAAUGGCAGAGCAGAACCCAAAUAGCACCAAAAUGGCACCAAAAUGGCACCAAAAUGUCGGAGCAGAACCCAAAUAGCACCAAAAUAGCACCAAAAUGGCACCAAAAUGGCAGAGCAGAACCCAAAUAGCACCAAAAUGGCACCAAAAUGGCACCAAAAUGACAGAACAGAACCCAAAUACCACCAAAAUGGCACCAAAAUGGCACCAAAAUGUCGGAGCAGAACCCAAAUAACACCAAAAUAGCACCAAAAUAGCACCAAAAUGUCGGAGCAGAACCCAAAUAGCACCAAAAUGGCACCAAAAUGGCACCAAAAUGUUGGAGCAGAACCCAAAUAGCACCAAAAUGUCCCAAAAUGCCUCAAAAUGAACCAUUGCCACCACAGGGCUGCUGGGGCUGCGAAUGGGAUUGGGAUGGGAUUGAGAAUGGGAUUGGGAUGGGACUGGGAUUGGAUGGGGCUGGGAUUGGGACUGGAAUGGGAUGGGAUUGGGAUUGGGAUGGGAUUGAGAAUGGGAUUGGGAUGGAACUGGGAUUGGGACUGGAUGGGGCUGGGAUUGGGAUUGGAAUGAAUGGGAUUGGGAUUGGGAUUGGGAUUGGAUGGGGAUGGGAUUGAGAUGGGAUUGGAUGGGGCUGGGAUUGGGAUGAGAUUGGGAUUAGGAUUGCGAUGGGGAUGGGAUUGGAAUGGGAUGGGAUUGGGAUGGGACAGGGAUUGGGAUUGGGAUGGGAUUGGGAUUAGAUAGGAUUGCGAUGGGGAUGGGAUGGAGUGGGAUGGGACUGAGAUAUUGGGAUGGGAUUGGGAUUAGGAUAGGAUUGGGAUGGGGAUGGGAUGGGAUUGGAACGGGGAUAGGAUCGGACUGAGAUUGGGAUGAGAUUAGGAUGGGGAUGAAAUUGGGAUUAGGAUGGGACUGAGAUUAGGAUGGGAUUGGGAUUAGGAUGGGAUGGAGUGGGAUGGGACUGAGAUAUUGGGAUGGGAUUGUGAUUAGGAUGGGGUUGGGGUGGGAUGAGAAUGGGAUUGGGAUGGAAUGAGAUUGGGAUUGGGAUUGGGAUUGGGAUUGGGAUUAGGAUGGGAUAGGAUUGCGAUUACGAUGGGGUUGGGAUGAGGAUGGGAUGGGGAUUGGAAUGGGAUUGGGAUUAGGAUAGGAUUGCGAUGGGAUGGAGUGGGAUUGGACUGAGGUAUUGGGAUGGGAUUGGGAUUAGGAUGGGAUUGGGGUGGGACGGGGGUUGGGAUGGGAUUGGGAUUAGGAUAGGAUUGGGAUGGGGGUGGGAUGGAGUGGGAUGGGACUGAGAUAUUGGGAUGGGAUUGGGAUUAGGAUGGGAUUGGGGUGAGAUGGGGAUGGGAUGAGACUGGGAUUGGGAUUGGGAUGGGAUUGGGGUUGGGAUGGGAUGAGAUAGGGAUUGGGAUGGGAUUGGGGUUGGGAUGCAAUGAGAUUGGGAUUGGGAUUGGGAUGAGACUGGGGUGGGAUGGGGAUGGGAUGAGAUUGGGAUUGGGAUUAGGAUGGGAUCGGGGUUGGGAGGGGAUGAGAUUGGGAUUGGGAUUAGGAUGGGAUUGGGGUUGGGAUGAGAUUGGGAUUGGGAUUAGGAUUGGGUUGGGAUGAGAUUGGGAUUGGGGUUAGGAUGGGAUUGGGGUAGGAUGGGGAUGGGAUGAGAUUGGGAUUGGGAUUAGGAUGGGAUUGGGGUAGGAUGGGGAUGGGAUGAGAUUGGGAUUGGGAUUAGGAUAGGAUUGGGGUUGGGAUGAGAUUGGGAUUGGGAUUAGGAUGGGAUAGGGGUAGGAUGGGGAUGGGAUUGGGAUGGGAUGAGAUUGGAUGAGAUUGCGAUGGGAUGAGAUUGGGAUUGGGAUUAGGAUGAGAUUGGGGUAGGAUGGGAUUGGGAUGGGAUGGGAUUGGGGUUGGGAUGGGACUGGGGUAGGAUGGGGAUGGGAUGAGAUUGGGGAUGGGGAUGGGAUGAGAUUGGGAUUGGGGUUAGGAUGGGAUUGGGGUAGGAUGGGGAUGGGAUGAGAUUGGGAUUGGGAUUAGGAUGGGAUUGGGGUAGGAUGGGGAUGGGAUUGGGAUGGGAUGAGAUUGGAUGAGAUUGCGAUGGGAUGAGAUUGGGAUUGGGAUUAGGAUGAGAUUGGGGUAGGAUGGGAUUGGGAUGGGAUGGGAUUGGGGUUGGGAUGGGACUGGGGUAGGAUGGGGAUGGGAUGAGAUUGGGGUUGGGGUUAGGAUGGGAUCGGGGUUGGGAUGAGAUUGGGAUUGGGAUUAGGAUGGAAUUGGGGUUGGGAUGAGAUUGGGAUUGGGGUUAUGAUGGGAUUGGGGUAGGAUGGGGAUGGGAUGAGAUUGGGAUUGGGAUUAGGAUGGGAUUGGGG